UACGUAGGCAGCGAGCGUUGUUCGGAGUUACUAGGCGUAAAGAGUGCGUAGGCGGUUUUCUAAGUUUGGUGUGAAAUCUCCCGGCUUAACUGGGAGGGUGCGCCGAAAACUGGAAGGCUUGAGUAUGGGAGAGGUAAGCGGAAUUCCUGGUGUAGCGGUGAAAUGCGUAGAUAUCAGGAGGAACACCUGCGGUGUAGACGGCUUACUGGACCAUAACUGACGCUGAGGCACGAAAGCGUGGGGAGCAAACAGG
rnacentral:rRNA from 1 species